UUAGUAGGGGAUUGGUCCUGCUUUGAGCAGGGGGUUGGACUAGAUGCCCUCCUUAGGUCCAUUCCAACCCUAAUAUUCUAUGAUUCUAUGGCUCAAGAUGCUUCUUCAGUCCAUCCUCUUCAAGAAAGCUAAAGAUAUUUGAACAAUCAGGGAGCGAAGAAGAGGCUGUGACGUUAUACUCCAUAUUCUUCACAGAAAUAUUGUUAGGAUAUGAAUAUGGCAUAACUAAGAUAUAUUUUAUGCUAGAUGGGUCAUGUGAGGUAUCAUUGAAAAGGGUAUGAUUUACUGAAUGUGUUUAUCCAAUUUGUAUACAUGUAUCAUUUCUGUAUCUGAUGUUAGGAAUAUUAUCUAUGUAACAAUUACAACUGUUUGGGUACGUGCUUGGGAAAUGCCCAGCAGACAGUAAGCAAUCAGCCUUAAUGGGCCAAUAAGAAAAGACAAUGAAUCUUUGAAGAUGUGGAUUUCCCAUCUUCCCAGGAGUUCCUUCCUGUGGAGCCUGCAAAUAAACCUUGUCUCAUGGUUGCCCUGACACUGCAAGGUCAUGUGAUAAUGUCACCUGGUACAAAAUACCACCUUGGACGCUGCUGGUACUUUUCCACUGGAAACAAAGGCUUCCUGCCUUAUGUAAAUUCUAUUUAAGGCUGGGAAGUGUGGGGGGAAAAUCCAGUGGGCCUAAAACUUCCGAAGUAGGCCUAAAACUUUAGUCAAGCUAACUGUGUGUGUAAAAGCAUAAGUAGAGACUAAAAAAUUUCACUGUAGGGCAGUUGCAACAGAACAACUUAGGAAAUGUAACCCUAACAGUUAGAAAUUAGGGAAGACUCGCUAACCGCAAAGAACAACCUGUCAGUAACAGGAAAAGCUUGUUUGCUAUAUCCUAAAUAAGGAAAACUACUGUUAGAGCCUAUACUAUAUGCCAAAUAAGGAAAACGCUGGUUAAAGGAAGUGUGCUUAAGAAAUUGUGGUUUUCAGUUGUAUAAACUCCUGUAUUUUCUGCUUAUGUAGAGCAGCUAUGGCUGAUUCUCCCUGUAUAUGUAUACUUGAAUAAAGGUGCUUCAGGCGUUUCUGAUUUCAAACGCAACACGUGGUUAAUUUUCCCCACAGAAGGAAGUCAUUCAGGACUUUCUUCCAUUGCCAGCCCAGGAAGGAAGACUGCUAAAAACACCUGAAGGGAAAGGCAGGGUGGAGUCCAGGCUGAGACAGGGGUCCAGUCUGUAAAGAGAAAUAACUGGAACUCUGAGAUACAGAAGCUCUGCAACUUGCCUAAAACAACAUUGAGGCUGGGUGUGUCCGUGCUGGAGAAGGCUUGAUGGCCUGGCACAGUAGAACAGGCACUCCAUCUUCGCAACAGCCAGGCUUGCUGAAGGCAUGAACGGGAAGGAAGAGAGGCAGCAUGGCCCCAAAGUACAAGGCACUGAGCUGGAAUUCAGGAGACCCGAGUCUCCCAUCUCUGCCACCUACCAUCUGAGACAUCCUGGGCAGGACUUUUCACCACCGGGCCUACGAUUGGCCUUCAUCUUGUUCAUUUAAACCGACAGCUCUUUUGGUCAGGGACUCUCUCUCUCACUGCGGGUACAUCUUCGUGGCAGAACGAACCCAGGUGACUGGGGAGCAGCCACACUGCAAAGCCCUGCCCACGUUGCUGUCUCCUCACUGGUGUUGUGCUCCCCCAUGUGCAUCGCUGGGACUUCUGGGGGCACGUCCCAACAUCCUUUGUGCUGCAGUAACCCGAGCAGCUUGUCAUUCCCUCCCAGGGAAUCUGUCCCUUCUUCUGGGCACAUAAGGACUUGGGGGAAGGUAUUGGAGGACACUCUGCACUUGAGAGAUUUAGCUGCAUCCUACCUGCAGGGGGAAAGUUAGAGCAGUAACCGGGCUCUAAUCCACACCCCUCAGCUGGGUCAGCUAGCCCGGGCUGAAAACUCUGCCAAACCUGGGUAUGAGCUUUUUGUGUGUGGAUGUGAGGAGGGAUUAGGGAUAACACCAGAGUAGGCUCCUGAGUUAACUCUGCAGUGCAGACAUAACUUAUGUGUAUGUACAGUGCCUAGCACUGGGGGUGGGGGGAGGCGUCCUGCUCCUGACUGGAGAGUCCAGGUGUUACUGUAAUACAAAUAAUAAUACUAGAUGAAAUAGUUACAGAGGUGCAAGAAUGUAUGCACAGGAAUACGGGGAUGAAAUGAAGGGUAUAUUUUUAGGCUGAAUAUUGGGGAAAAUAUUUCUGACAGUGAGCUGUUAGACUGUGGAAUAAUCGCCCAAGGGAAUGUGCAUACACCCUAUCCCUUGUGAUAUUUAACAUUAGACUGGACCAAACAUUAUAUAACAUAGUGGUUGGUGGACCAGUGAAAGACUGGGUAUUUAAUAAGUCUUUCCCAGCUCAAACUGGUAUGAUGUGAAGGCUGAGAAUCCAUAUUCACGUUAAUUAGAUAAAUCUAACCUGUUGACCUUCUCUGUAGGAAAUCUGGUGAUCUGCCUAUUGGUUAUUGCUUUAUAUUUCUAGCAAGCAAACAUCUCUCUUUACUGAUGGCAUGGUGGGUGGAUGGAAAGCUAGUUUACAUUUUCACAUUGGUUUUACUCCUCUGUAAAGCCUACUCAGCGGUGACUAAUCCCGAAUUGAUUCACCUUUCCCAUUCGGAGCACUUCAUUUUCACCAGAUUUUAGUAUUUAAUUCAGGUUAACCAUUUGCAGACUAUGUGCUGGGCAUAUAAUAUAUUGUACAUACAUUGGCUGGCUCUAAGGUGGUACCAAAAAUAUUGCUCAAAUGUGACAAUUCCUGAGGUUCUGAUCUAUUGCUCAAGGCACAGGGCCAUAUAACACAAAUGAAGGAAUUAUUUUUAUCUUGAUAGUCAGAUUUGUAUUAUCACUGCUCUCAAAGACAAAUUAUUUUGUUAUAAUGACCCUAGGCAGCCGAAACUCACACAAACAUAACACAUAAAAGAAAGUAGAAAAUGCAAAAGAAAUGAUAGGUAACAUCUGAAUAAGAAGGAAAAUUACCUACACUAUGUACAUUGUGCCCUGCAGACUGGUGAGGUAACCAUCCUUGUCUGAUCAUACACUGGGUUCAUUUUGUGAAGCUUCCAGAAGUGCCAGUGGAUCAUUUAGGGCUAAGUAUGUCCACAAGCAGGUUGUGAUGUCAAAAAUCUUCACACCCAGGAAUGAUUCUGCCAAGGAAAACCCAGCACAGAAUGAUCCAGAAAGCCUGGCAGUCUGAGAGGAACUUCAUCAACCUGAUUCCAAACAUCAUGAGGAGCUACCAGCUCCCUCUUGACCAAGAUAGGCUUAGGCCCAGACAGCACAGAAAUGUGGGAAAGGGGGUAACUGGGGCAUCUCCACCAAAAUCCUGUAGGCAAACGCGGCGGGAGUCCAGCACUCAGUGGGUCCCCUGGAAAAUGGCACUCAGAGGCAAGGAUCAUAGCCCGAGAAGGUCCCUCCCUCAAAUUCUGGACAACCUUGCUGGCAGGUGAGAAUGUGGGAUAAUUCACUUAAGUACCACUCAUGCAACUAGAAGAGCUAAUCCUGCACCUCCUCACCACUGCUCUCAAAGAGCUGUGAUCCCAGGACCUGCCUGCUUUCCCACUGGAUCUCUCCCUCUGGUUGGAACUCACUCCCCACGCUGCAGCUUCAUGGCUUGGACUCCCCAAGGCAUGGUGAGUCCAAGCCCUAUCCCAGAUCCUUAGCCUCCUCUGGCCCUUAGCAGGAUUCCCCAGAGACUUCCUUGGAGCACUCCCUUUCAGGCUCCUUCUGGGCCCUUUCUUACUGCCUGUCCCAAGGUCAGGACUCCUUAACACAGGACUAUUUAUUCAGGCCUCUCCUGAGCUGGAUUCCCGUGGCCUCCCUUUCUCCUCCCACAGCAAGAGAACUUCUCUCUCCUGCCCAUAGGAGAUGGCCACUUCCCACAGUUUCACCCUCAGAGCAAACCAAUUGCCUGAGAGGAAGGGGUUUAGCUGAGCACUGUGGCAUUCGCGUCCAGUUUCAAAGCUGCAGCAGCACUGGAGAGGUAGCACUGCCCUGUUUGGGUUCAGUAUGGUAGUUUUCUUUUUCUAAUGAUACAUAGAACUGGCUGAAAAACUGGAUUUUUCCCAUUCGAAUUUUCAUGGGAAAAAUCCCCCUUUGAAUUUUUACUGUUGAAAAAUGCCAAUUUUCCCAUGGGAAAUUUCAAAGCUGUGGGAAAGUGGGUUCCUCACCAUGUUUCACUGUUAAAUGUAACUUUAAAGUAUUAAUGUUAUUUUCUCCCUGAAAGUUAUACUAUUAAUACUUUGUUCCUCUUUCCCAACUGGGAAAAAAAAAGUCAGGAAAUUGGAAAAAGUUGAUUUUGCCACACUUUCUCCCUAUUAUCCAACUUUUGCCAAUUGAGUAACGGUCAGAUAAUGGGAGGGAAACCCACAGAUAUGAAAUUAAAAUUUUCAAACAUUUUGAACAUUUUCAGGCUCCCCCACAAAUUUUUACAUUUAGAAAAAAAUUGUUAUUCCCCCCCAAAUUUGUUUUCAGAAAGAUCUGGGAAAUAGCAAAGUUAGUAAAAAACUAUUUUUCCACAAAAAUAUUCAUUUUCAACUCAAUCCUAUUUUCCAGCUAAAAACCUUAAUCGGAAAAUGUUUGACCAGCUCUAGCUAUAUUCAUUACAUAGAGGCAGGUAUUAAUAGAUUACUUAGAAUUAUCUUUGUGGAUAAUCUACCAGGAGUGCAACAGACAUUAUCAAUGAAAUUUCAAUUAAUUUCUUAUUACUCCUGUAUUUAUUCUGUACAAAUUCUGUUCUGAGGUACACCAGUGUCACUCAGGAGUAACAGCUCUGAAAUCAAUAGAUUUAUUCCAGAUUUACACUGGUGAGUCUCAGAGCAGAGUCUGACCAGGAGUAAGGCAAGACAUUUAAGGAUCUGUAGUGUUAACUUGAGUCUCGGGUCCUUUGUUCCAACACAAAGGAGCUCCCCUCUCACACGUCUCUGCCUCAUACUCAUAAGAACAGCCAUACGGGGUCAGACCAAUGGUCCAUCUAGCCCAGUAGACUUGUCUUCCAAGAGUGGCCAAUGCUAGGU